rnacentral:rRNA from 1 species
GACGAACGCUGGCGGCGUGCUUAACACAUGCAAGUCGAACGGUAAGGCCCUUCGGGGUACACGAGUGGCGAACGGGUGAGUAACACGUGGGUGAUCUGCCCUGCACUUUGGGAUAAGCCUGGGAAACUGUAGCUAAUACCGGAUAUGAGGCUUGGAGACAUCUCCAGGUCUGGAAAGAAUUUCGGUCAAGGAUGAGCUCGCGGCCUAUCAGCUAGUUGGUGAGGUAAUGGCUCACCAAGGCGACGACGGGUAGCCGGCCUGAGAGGGUGACCGGCCACACUGGGACUGAGACACGGCCCAGACUCCUACGGGAGGCAGCAGUGGGGAAUAUUGCACAAUGGGCGAAAGCCUGAUGCAGCAACGCCGCGUGAGGGAUGAAGGCCUUCGGGUUGUAAACCUCUUUUAGCAGGGAAGAAGCGAAAGUGACGGUACCUGCAGAAAAAGCACCGGCUAACUACGUGCCAGCCGCCGCGGUAA